UUUGGGAGCUACCUGUUACCCACAGAGAUAUUUGGCUCUGUAUCACCAGUGCUUUUUAUAGUGUGGACCUCUAAACCAAACAGGCUGCUAUGGAGAAUAUGCGGAGAUGGCCACUGAAAAAGCCACGUGAACGCUCUGAUAAUUCAAUAAGCGGAAAGUGGUUCUUUUGACAUUGCAAAUCUGCCAGCUUAGGGACAGAGUUUGGCAGCGCUUGGGAAAAUGACAUCAGUGUCGCAGGAAGAGGCAAGCACUCAGUUUGUGUAGCACUUAGAGGGGCUAUCGGCUGCAUUCUCAGCUGAUAGCACCUCCUCCACUCUGUGCCUCCUCCUCUGGUGAUGAUAAUGGGUUUUUGGAGGACAGAGGGUAGUUUUUAAGCUAUGGGUCACAUAAGCCAUGUGACUGCAUAAAGAGUGGGGUACUAUCCGGAUGAAGCCUCAGAAAAAAAAUAAUAUUCAGUCAACUUCAAGGUUCAAGAUGCUGAAAUGCUAUUGCUGCAGCGCUGCAAGAGCAAACAAUAUUGUUU